AUCGAUAAUCCACGAUAANUUUCACUUAAAUCUUAAACCUAUAUACCGCCAUCUUAAGAAUUAAUUAAAAAAUAUUUCUCUCAAAAAUUAAUAAAAAGUUAGGUCAAGGUGUAAUUUAUAUUAAAGAAUCAGAUGAAUUACAUUAAAUAUUAUUAUAAGAUUAUAUAUAAAAAUAUUUAUAAAAAUAAGAAUUUAAAAGUAAUAUUAAAAUAAUAAUAUAAUAUGAUAAAUAUAAUAAAUGUGCACACAUCGCCC
rnacentral:rRNA from 1 species